rnacentral:pre_miRNA from 1 species
CACCAGCCAGUCAGGAGUGUGUAUGCAAAUUAACCCAACAAAGCUGGUGGGUUAAUUUGCAUACACAGGUGCCAAUGGCUGGGAGCGG